CGGAUGUUCAGGAGGAGGAAAAGAUGUUUUUUCACAAGUUGGUUGCCUCGUACAUUAUAUGUUAGUCAUGUAACCGGAAUGUUAUUCUUGGACUUUGUGUGAUGGUUAAGUUUUGGGUAUCCGACUCCUAGAUGAUUUAAGUUUAAUAAAGUUUUGUGAUCCUAACUGUACCAUUAACCGGAUGUAAGAUAUAAAAAGUGGAAAAUCUUCAGCUCGCAGAACUGUGAAAACAACUAAAACGUAAAGGUUGCAGGCUCGGCAUAAUUCAGCCUGAUCAUGGACUGUAAUGGAAAUGCAUGGAGCUGUACAUGCUCGCUAGCCACAUGUUGAGCAGUACUCAACAUUUACACAUGCUACAAAAUUUUAAAAAAAUGAAACAGAUUGGAGACAUUUGCAAGUGUGUUCAUAUAGGGGAGCACAUGGAACCUUCAGUGAAACAACCACCUGGUGUGUAAUUCCAUGAACAGUGGUGUAUGGUCCUCAGUUAUAACAAACGUUUGCACUGCCACUAGGCAGAAUUGCAGAGUAAACGCAGUGUCUACAGUAGACAAACGAGAUGUAGCACAGUGCAAAAAGAAAUGGAUUUGUGUAGUUUCUCAAGUGAAGAAACUGGAAUCUGCCAGGAGGACAGAGGCUGGAGGAACUAGUGGGGGGCAGCCACCUGUGAACAUGCCGCUGUGGUAGGAAGUUGUUCUGAGCACUAUUCCCAGAUGCAAUGUUUCGGGUAUUGAUGGGGGUAUAGAUACUGCAAAUGAGGACACUUCUGUGAGAGACUUGAAAGAUGCAGAUGAUGAAGAAGAAGAGGAAGGUCGUAGUGUAUUUGGAAAAGGUGCAUCAGGAAGUGGUGUAUUUGGGAAAAGUUCAUCGGGAAGUGUUAAGGGUAAAGGACUGUCAGGUAAAGUGUUUUUAUCACGCUCAUGUAGAUAUUUUAUUCUAACACGACCAGCAAAUAACCUAUAUACAUGUAGAGCAAAAUCUAUCUAGGAUUAUUCUGCA
rnacentral:lncRNA from 1 species